rnacentral:rRNA from 1 species
UACGAAGGGUGCAAGCGUUACUCGGAAUUACUGGGCGUAAAGCGUGCGUAGGUGGUGAGUUAAGUCUGAUGUGAAAUCCCCGGGCUCAACCUGGGAAUGGCAUUGGAUACUGGCUCGCUCGAGUGCGGUAGAGGGUGGUGGAAUUCCCAGUGUAGCAGUGAAAUGCGUAGAGAUCGGGAGGAACAUCUGUGGCGAAGGCGGCCACCUGGACCAGCACUGACACUGAGGCACGAAAGCGUGGGGAGCAAACAGG